UUAGCCCAGCCUCAGAGUGUGGUCAAGGCCUGGGAUAUCAGCCAUUAAUGAUGGCGACCCUGGACAACUCCCCCUGAGACACAGCCUCAGAGUGUGUGGUCAAGGCCUGGGAUAUCAGCCAUUAAUGAUGGCAACCCUGGACAACUCCCCCUUAGCCCAGCCUCAGAGUGUGGUCAAGGCCUGGGAUAUCAGCCAUUAAUGAUGGCGACCCUGGACAACUCUGGACAACAAUUCGAGCCAGCGACCUUUCGGUUACUGGCCCAACACUCUUAACCGCUAGGGCUCCUGCCUUUCAGUGUUCCUCCUUAAUGUACUGUGGGCAGGACUUGAUGCAGGGCUUGAUGCAGGACUUGAUGCAGGGCUUGAUGCAAGGCUUGAUGCAGGGCUUGAUGCAGGGCUUGAUGCAGGACUUGAUGCAGGGCUUGAUGCAGGGCUUGAUGCAGGGCUUGAUGCAGGGCUUGAUGCAGGGCUUGAUGCAGGGCUUGAUGCAGGACUUGAUGCAGGGCUUGAUGCAGGACUUGAUGCAGGGCUUGAUGCAGGACUUGAUGCAGGGCUUGAUGCAGGGCUUGAUGCAGGGCUUGAUGCAGGGCUUGAUGCAGCCAAUGCUACCUGCUUGUUUAGAAGUCUGCUUUUCAGAAGCAAUGUGCCUUUAACAGUAUGCUUGAAAAUAAAUACACGUGACUCUGGAUGAAAACAUAAUGAUGUUUGUUUCCAACAUUAGGGCUGUUUUCCUAAAGAAGUUAGAUUUAGUUUUGUGUUUUGCUUCCUUGCUUGUGUCUUCCCGGCCCUAUGAGUUACCUGUUAUUGUGUCCCAAAUGGCACCCUAUUCUCUGUGACCUAUAUUUGACCAGGACUCAUUGGGAAUAGGGUACCAUUGAGAACUAAAAGUUACUUAGUUAGAGCUAUUGAGAUUAUCGCUGCAAAAGUGGAUGCUAGUUUUCCUACACUAACCUCAAUGUAAUCAACUGUCACAUUCCAAUAUGCAGAGAACUCUGUAACAAGUCAUAAAAUACACCAAAAAGUGGAUUUUGAACUAUUUCUGAAUGAUGGUUACCUGUUCACAGUUGAUGUAAAAUAGGUAAUUCUGUAUGACAUUCUUACAACAACAACAACAACAAUGCUCCUAUGCUGUUUGUCUUGUUGUAGAGUAUUGAAAUGGAAGUUAAUUGCAACCAUACCAAAGCCAAAUCUUUUGUUUACUCAACGUUAUUAUAUUAUUCAGUUUAGAUGAAGAUAAACCAUCUCAAAAGUGUUGUCAGUGUCCAUAUUGUGAUGCUCUCUUUAAGCCAAAUACACGUAAAGGAGGUGCUUGUUCCUGAAUUGCAGGGACGUUUUAAGCAGUCUAUGGUUUUCUUGAUGUUUUUAAAAUGACUGUUUGCUGCCUUUGUCUUUUCAUAAAUCAUACCAGCCUUUAUCAAAUGUUCCUUUGUGCCAGGAAGUGUGCCUUAACACUGGAUGAAUUAAAUAUAUUUCUUCAUACAUUUUCAUCAUAUUGUUCAGUUAAUUGAGAACGAUAACAAAUAAAUGAAUCGUUUUUCUUAAUGUUUUUUUAAACAGACACGAUGCAGUAGUACAUUUCUUUUAAUUUUAAAGCGUUUUGGUUGACUGUGUUUGUUUGGAUAGGAGUGUAAAGUCUGUCUCUGUUCCCAGGUUAGUCUGUCUCUGUUCCCAGGUUAGUCUGUCUCUGUUCCCAGGUUCCCUUCGUCUCUGUUCCCAGGUUCCCCUCGUCUCUGUUCCCUCCGUCUCUGUUCCCUCUGUCUCUGUUCCCUCUGUCUCUGUUCCCUCCGUCUCUGUU